rnacentral:rRNA from 1 species
CGCGUAGGUGGUUUGUUAAGCGAGAUGUGAAAGCCCCGGGCUUAACCUGGGAACGGCAUUUCGAACUGGCAGGCUAGAGUGUGGUAGAGGGUAGUGGAAUUUCCUGUGUAGCGGUGAAAUGCGUAGAUAUAGGAAGGAACACCAGUGGCGAAGGCGGCUACCUGGACCAACACUGACACUGAGGUGCGAAAGCGUGGGGAGCAAAAG